rnacentral:rRNA from 1 species
UACGUAGGGGGCGAGCGUUGUCCGAAGUUACUGGGCGUAAAGCGCGCGUAGGCGGUUGCUUAAGUUAGAUGUGAAAUCCUGGGGCCCAACCCCAGAACUGCAUCUAAAACUGGGCGACUUGAGGACGGGAGAGGGCAGUGGAAUUCCUGGUGUAGCGGUGAAAUGCGUAGAUAUCAGGAGGAACACCCGUGGCGAAGGCGGCUGCCUGGUCCGUAUCUGACGCUGAGGCGCGAAAGCUAGGGGAGCGAACGGG